GACGAACGCUGGCGGCGUGCUUAACACAUGCAAGUCGAACGGAAAGGCCCUGCUUUUGUGGGGUGCUCGAGUGGCGAACGGGUGAGUAACACGUGAGUAACCUGCCCUUGACUUUGGGAUAACUUCAGGAAACUGGGGCUAAUACCGGAUAGGAUCUCCCGCUGCAUGGUGGGGGUUGGAACGUUUCGGCGGUUGGGGAUGGACUCGCGGCUUAUCAGCUUGUUGGUGGGGUAGUGGCAUACCAAGGCUUUGACGGGUAGCCGGCCUGAGAGGGUGACCGGCCACAUUGGGACUGAGAUACGGCCCAGACUGCUACGGGAGGCAGCAGUGGGGAAUAUUGCACAAUGGGCGGAAGCCGGAUGCAGCAACGCCGCGUGCGGGAUGACGGCCUGUGGGUUGUAAACCGCUUUCGCCUGUGACGAAGCGUGAGUGACGGUAAUGGGUAAAGAAGCACCGGCUAACUACGUG
rnacentral:rRNA from 1 species